rnacentral:rRNA from 1 species
GUUGUAUGGUUAAGUGACUAAGCGUACACGGUGGAUGCCUUGGCAGUCAGAGGCGAUGAAAGACGUAGUAACUUGCGAUAAGCCCAGAUUAGGUAGUAACAACCAUUUGAGUCUGGGAUUUCUGAAUGGGGAAACCCACGUGCAUAAGCACGUAUCCUUACCUGAAUACAUAGGGUAAGGAGGCGAACCGGGGGAACUGAAACAUCUAAGUACCCCGAGGAAAAGAAAUCAACCGAGAUUCCGAAAGUAGCGGCGAGCGAAAUUGGACUAGCCCUUAAGCUUUACACGCGUUAGACGAACGGUCUGGAAAGUCCGACGAUACAGGGUGAUAGUCCCGUAGUUGACGACGUGUGUUCAGUGAAAUCGAGUAGGGCGGGACACGUGAUAUCCUGUCUGAAUAUGGGGGGACCAUCCUCCAAGGCUAAAUACUACUGACUGACCGAUAGUGAACCAGUACCGUGAGGGAAAGGCGAAAAGAACCCCUGUGAGGGGAGUGAAAUAGAACCUGAAACCGUGUACGUACAAGCAGUAGGAGCAGGCUUGUCCUGUGACUGCGUACCUUUUGUAUAAUGGGUCAGCGACUUAUAUUCAGUGGCAAGGUUAACCAUCUAGGGGAGCCGUAGGGAAACCGAGUCUUAACUGGGCGUUCAGUCUCUGGAUAUAGACCCGAAACCAGGUGAUCUAGCCAUGGGCAGGUUGAAGGUUGAGUAACAUCAACUGGAGGACCGAACCGACUAAUGUUGAAAAAUUAGCGGAUGACUUGUGGCUAGGGGUGAAAGGCCAAUCAAACCUGGAGAUAGCUGGUUCUCCCCGAAAGCUAUUUAGGUAGCGCCUCGGACGAAUACUACUGGGGGUAGAGCACUGUUAAGGCUAGGGGGUCAUCCCGACUUACCAACCCUUUGCAAACUCCGAAUACCAGUAAGUACUAUCCGGGAGACACACGGCGGGUGCUAACGUCCGUCGUGGAGAGGGAAACAACCCAGACCGCCAGCUAAGGUCCCAAAUUACUACUAAGUGGGAAACGAUGUGGGAAGGCUCAGACAGCCAGGAUGUUGGCUUAGAAGCAGCCAUCAUUUAUUAAAGAAAGCGUAAUAGCUCACUGGUCGAGUCGGCCUGCGCGGAAGAUGUAACGGGGCUAAGUAGUAAACCGAAGCUGCGGCAAUGUGCUUUUGCACAUUGGGUAGGGGAGCGUUCUGUAAGCGGUUGAAGGUGUGUGGUAACGCAUGCUGGACGUAUCAGAAGUGCGAAUGCUGACAUGAGUAACGAUAAAGGGGGUGAAAAACCUCCUCGCCGGAAGACCAAGGGUUCCUGUCCAACGUUAAUCGGGGCAGGGUAAGUCGACCCCUAAGGCGAGGCCGAAAGGCGUAGUCGAUGGGAAACGGGUUAAUAUUCCCGUACUUCUUACAAUUGCGAUGGGGGGACGGAGAAGGCUAGGUGGGCCUGGCGACGGUUGUCCAGGUUCAAGUGCGUAGGCUUAAGAGUUAGGUAAAUCCGGCUCUUUUUAAGGCUGAGACACGACGUCGAGCACCUACGGGUGUGAAGUCAUUGAUGCCAUGCUUCCAGGAAAAGCCUCUAAGCUUCAGAUUGUAAGGAAUCGUACCCCAAACCGACACAGGUGGUCGGGUAGAGAAUACCAAGGCGCUUGAGAGAACUCGGGUGAAGGAACUAGGCAAAAUGGUACCGUAACUUCGGGAGAAGGUACGCUCUCGACGGUGAAGUCCCUCGCGGAUGGAGCUAUUGAGAGUCGCAGAUACCAGGUGGCUGCAACUGUUUAUUAAAAACACAGCACUGUGCAAAAUCGUAAGAUGACGUAUACGGUGUGACGCCUGCCCGGUGCCGGAAGGUUAAUUGAUGGGGUUAGACUUCGGUCGAAGCUCUUGAUCGAAGCCCCGGUAAACGGCGGCCGUAACUAUAACGGUCCUAAGGUAGCGAAAUUCCUUGUCGGGUAAGUUCCGACCUGCACGAAUGGCGUAAUGAUGGCCACGCUGUCUCCACCCGAGACUCAGUGAAAUUGAAAUCGCUGUGAAGAUGCAGUGUACCCGCGGCUAGACGGAAAGACCCCGUGAACCUUUACUACAGCUUGGCACUGAACAUUGACCCUACAUGUGUAGGAUAGGUGGGAGGCUUUGAAGCACGUACGCCAGUAUGUGUGGAGCCGUCCUUGAAAUACCACCCUUGUAGUGUUGAUGUUCUAACGUCGACCCCUAAUCGGGGUUGCGGACAGUGCCUGGUGGGUAGUUUGACUGGGGCGGUCUCCUCCCAAAGAGUAACGGAGGAGCACGAAGGUGGGCUAAUCACGGUUGGACAUCGUGAGGUUAGUGCAAUGGCAUAAGCCCGCUUGACUGCGAGAAUGACAAUUCGAGCAGGUGCGAAAGCAGGUCAUAGUGAUCCGGUGGUUCUGAAUGGAAGGGCCAUCGCUCAACGGAUAAAAGGUACUCCGGGGAUAACAGGCUGAUACCGCCCAAGAGUUCAUAUCGACGGCGGUGUUUGGCACCUCGAUGUCGGCUCAUCACAUCCUGGGGCUGAAGUCGGUCCCAAGGGUAUGGCUGUUCGCCAUUUAAAGUGGUACGCGAGCUGGGUUUAGAACGUCGUGAGACAGUUCGGUCCCUAUCUGCCGUGGGCGUUGGAAGAUUGAAGGGGGCUGCUCCUAGUACGAGAGGACCGGAGUGGACGAACCUCUGGUGUUCGGGUUGUGUCGCCAGACGCAUUGCCCGGUAGCUAAGUUCGGAAUCGAUAACCGCUGAAAGCAUCUAAGCGGGAAGCGAGCCCUGAGAUGAGUCUUCCCUGAUACUUUAAGUAUCCUAAAGGGUUGUCGGAGACUACGACGUUGAUAGGUCAGGUGUGUAAGUGCUGUGAGGCAUUGAGCUAACUGAUACUAAUUGCCCGUGAGGCUUAACCAUACAACACCCAAGGGGUUU